CACGUAGGCGGCCUGGUGAGUCAGAUGUGAAAGCCCGGGGCUUAACCCCGGAAGUGCAUUUGAUACUGUCAGGCUUGAGUAUGGGAGAGGGAAGUGGAAUUCCUGGUGUAGAGGUGAAAUUCGUAGAUAUCAGGAGGAACACCGGUGGCGAAGGCGACUUCCUGGACCAAUACUGACGCUGAGGUGCGAAGGCGUGGGUAGCAAACAGGAUUAGAUACCCUGGUAGUCC
rnacentral:rRNA from 1 species